CCAAAUUUUCAUUUCGCCUUCCAGCAAAAUGAAUUGCUGAUACGGCUUCAGCAAACAAGAGUUUACUGUAAAAUCAGUAAUAUCAAUAUUGUUUGCUGAAUGGUUCAGUAAAUGAUAAAAUUACUGAAACAAUCAGCAAAGCAUGUGUCAAACACUUAUAUUUUUUUCUCGACGAAUUUCACAAGCAGCAUGCGCAGUAAAAAUGCUGUUUUUUUUUCAUAAAAUAUAAAUAAAAAUCAUUAAUUUGCAAGUUCUUAGCGUCAGAUAGAUGAAUCCGGUGAAGCAUCCAGUGGAUCUCUUGCUGCCUUGUUGACAACCAGGUCGAACAUUUUACAAGCAAACAAAUAACCAUUUUUGCAAAUAAAAUGCAUAUAGAGUCUCGUGUGAGAUAUAAAAAGGUUA